UUUUCCCUUGUGGAGGCUGCACUUCAACACCUGGCCGCCAAAUUACACUUGUCACUUUACCAUAAAUAUGGC